rnacentral:rRNA from 1 species
CCUACGGGAGGCAGCAGUGAGGAAUAUUGGUCAAUGGCCGUAAGGCUGAACCAGCCAAGUCGCGUGAAGGACGAAGGCCCUCUGGUUUGUAAACUUCUUUUAUAGGGGAAUAAAGGUAUCUAAGUGUGGAUAUUUGCAUGUACUCUAUGAAUAAGCAUCGGCUAACUCCGUGCCAGCAGCCGCGGUAAUACGGAGGAUGCGAGCGUUAUCCGGAUUUAUUGGGUGUAAAGGGUGCGUAGGUUGUUUUUUAAGUCAGUGGUGAAAGUUUGGGGCUCAACCAUAAAAUUGCCAUGGAUACUGGAAGACUUGAGUAUGUGUGAGGUAGGCGGAAUGCGUGGUGUAGCGGUGAAAUGCAUAGAUAUCACGCAGAACUCCGAUUGCGAAGGCAGCUUACUAA